rnacentral:rRNA from 1 species
AACGUAGGUGGCGAGCGUUGUCCGGAUUUACUGGGCGUAAAGGGCGUGCAGGCGGUCUGUUUAGUCUAGGGUGAAAGCUCCCGGCUCAACUGGGAGAGGUCCUUGGAUACUGGCAGACUUGAGGGAGGCAGAGGAAAGUGGAAUUCCCGGUGUAGUGGUGAUAUGCGUAGAUAUCGGGAGGAACACCAGUGGCGAAGGCGGCUUUCUGGGCCUUACCUGACGCUGAGACGCGAAAGCGUGGGGAGCGAACCGG